GAGUUUGAUCGUGGCUCAGAUUGAACGCUGGCGGCAGGCCUAACACAUGCAAGUCGAGCGGUAGAGAGAAGCUUGCUUCUCUUGAGAGCGGCGGACGGGUGAGUAAUGCCUAGGAAUCUGCCUGGUAGUGGGGGAUAACGCUCGGAAACGGACGCUAAUACCGCAUACGUCCUACGGGAGAAAGCAGGGGACCUUCGGGCCUUGCGUUAUCAGAUGAGCCUAGGUCGGAUUAGCUAGUUGGUGAGGUAAUGGCUCACCAAGGCGACGAUCCGUAACUGGUCUGAGAGGAUGAUCAGUCACACUGGAACUGAGACACGGUCCAGACUCCUACGGGAGGCAGCAGUGGGGAAUAGUUGGACAAUGGGCGAAAGCCUGAUCCAGCCAUGCCGCGUGUGUGAAGAAGGUCUUCGGAUUGUAAAGCACUUUAAGUUGGGAGGAAGGCAGUAAUUAAUACUUUGCUGUUUUGACGUUACGACAGAAUAAGCACCGGCUAACUCUGUGCCAGCCGCCGACCG
rnacentral:rRNA from 1 species